GGUCCAACCCAAAACAAAAACAAAAAAACAAAAAUAAAAGAUUACAAAAUAUAAUUCUUGUCCUAUCAAAACUAAAUUAGGAAAGUUAUUCCUAUCAGAAAUGGUUGCCCUAGAUUCACGCUUCAUCUCUCUCUUCCUCUUUGUUCCUCUCCCUACAUCAAUUGUGCAAAAAUGAUGAAUUAGACGGAGAUUGUAAUCGAUUUCAACUCCAUAAUAAUUUUGAGCUGAUUGACACCCAGAAUUGUUGAUUAAUUUCACUUUCCACUACUUCAACCGUAUUGGGUUAGCUUCUCUCUUCUUUGAUGCGAUUUUGUUGCUUUGUUUCAACCCUUGUAUGACCUCUACCACAUUUGUGUUAUGUAUGUGCUGAAUAUUCCUUAGAUUUGUUUGUUUCAUGUUGACCCGAGAUCCUGAUGUGUUGAUAUGAUGGUACCAUGACUCUACUGUCAGGAUUUGUUCCCUAUUGGCAAGGAAAAGAAUACAUGAAAAAAGAGAAGAAGCAAGAACUAAAAGCCAGAAAGGAGGAUGCAUCCCUGGCAACUUCACCAAAGACUACAUAAAGUCAAGAAAAACAAAGUUAUAACAAAUUCUCACCAAAAUUUCAUGAUAAAUUAUCAUGCCAAAUUCUCAAGAUUGCAUGAUAAUUUGCGAUGCCAAUUUCUCAAUAUUGCAUGAUAAUUUGCCAUGCCAAUUUCUCAUCAAGGAAAUAUUAUUAUAUUGAAUUUCUCUUGAAAUGUCUCUCCAAGACUUCUAGGAAUUUUUCUAUAAAUAGGCAUAUGUUUGUAGAAGAAAAAAAACCCAUCUUUCAUCCUUGAUUUGCAUCCAAUAGUGAAGAGGACACAAGAACUAGUCUUGGUGUCUCUCUUGGCUCUUUCUUGUAGUAAA